rnacentral:rRNA from 1 species
AUUGAACGCUGGCGGCAUGCCUUACACAUGCAAGUCGAACGGCAGCACGGGAGCAAUCCUGGUGGCGAGUGGCGAACGGGUGAGUAAUGUAUCGGAACGUACCUUUCAGUGGGGGAUAACGUAGCGAAAGUUACGCUAAUACCGCAUAUUCUGUGAGCAGGAAAGCAGGGGAUCGCAAGACCUUGCGCUGAUUGAGCGGCCGAUAUCAGAUUAGCUAGUUGGUGAGGUAAAGGCUCACCAAGGCGACGAUCUGUAGCGGGUCUGAGAGGAUGAUCCGCCACACUGGAACUGAGACACGGUCCAGACUCCUACGGGAGGCAGCAGUAGGGAAUAUUGGUCAAUGGGUGAGAGCCUGAACCAGCCAUGCCGCGUGCAGGAAGACGGCCUUCUGGGUUGUAAACUGCUUUUAUCUGGGGAUAAAAAGACCGUGCGCGGUUAAUUGAAGGUACCAGAUGAAUAAGCACCGGCUAACUACGUGCCAG